rnacentral:rRNA from 1 species
GUGUCAGCCGCCGCGGUAAUACGUAGGUGGCGAGCGUUGUCCGGAAUUACUGGGUGUAAAGGGCGUGUAGGCGGGAUGGCAAGUCAGAUGUGAAAUACCGGGGCUUAACCCUGGUGCUGCAUCUGAAACUGCUGUUCUUGAGUGCCGGAGAGGAAAGCGGAAUUCCCAGUGUAGCGGUGAAAUGCGUAGAUAUUGGGAGGAACACCGGUGGCGAAGGCGGCUUUCUGGACGGUAACUGACGCUGAGGCGCGAAAGCGUGGGGAGCAAACAGGAUUAGAUACCCUGGUAGUCCACGCCGUAAACGAUGGAUACUAGGUGUAGGAGGUGUAAAUACCUUCUGUGCCGGAGUUAACACAAUAAGUAUCCCACCUGGGGAGUACGGUCGCAAGGCUGAAACUCAAAGAAAUUGACGG